UACGGAGGGGGCUAGCGUUGUUCGGAAUUACUGGGCGUAAAGCGCACGUAGGCGGCUUUGUAAGUUAGAGGUGAAAGCCCGGGGCUCAACCUCGGAACUGCCUUUGAUACUGCAAGUCUCGAGUCCGAUAGAGGUGGGUGGAAUUCCUAGUGUAGAGGUGAAAUUCGUAGAUAUUAGGAAGAACACCGGUGGCGAAGGCGGCCCACUGGAUCGGAUACUGACGCUGGAGGUGCGAAAGACGUGGGGAGCAAACAGG
rnacentral:rRNA from 1 species